AUUUGCAAAAGACAACCAAGGUAUUGCAAAUGUGUUAUUUUCAGUCUCUUUUAGUAGCCACUUAGUCACAAACACUGGCCAAAGUUAGCAUUCAUAAUUGUUUUUAACACACAAAUAUAAAUGCUUACUUUGGCCAGUGUUUGUGACUAAGUGGCAAAGAAAAAAGAAUGGAUAUAUCCUAUAUUGAAUACCCUGGGUUGUCUACUUUAAAC